GAACGCGAAGAACCUUACCAAGUCUUGACAUCCCGAUGCCCGGCUCGUAAUGGAGCCUUUUCUUCGGAACAUCGGAGACAGGUGGUGCAUGGUUGUCGUCAGCUCGUGUCGUGAGAUGUUGGGUUAAGUCCCGCAACGAGCGCAACCCUCAUCUGCAGUAGCCAGCAUACAGAUGGGCACUCUGCAGAGACCGCCGGGGAUAACCCGGAGGAGGAUGGGGAUGACGUCAAAUCAUCAUGCCCCUUAUGACUUGGGCUACACACGUGCUACAAUGGCACUCAACAAAGUGAAGCGAGACUGUGAAGUUAAGCAAAGCACAAAAACAGUGUCCCAGUUCGGAUUGUAGUCUGCAACUCGACUACAUGAAGCCGGAAUCGCUAGUAAUCGCAGAUCAGCAUGCUGCGGUGAAUACGUUCCCGGGUCUUGUACACACC
rnacentral:rRNA from 1 species